AAUAGAUACCCUGGUAGUCCACGCCGUAAACGAUGAGUGCUAAGUGUUAGAGGGUUUCCGCCCUUUAGUGCUGCAGCAAACGCAUUAAGCACUCCGCCUGGGGAGUACGGCCGCAAGGCUGAAACGUCAAAGGAAUUGACGGGGACCCGCACAAGCGGUGGAGCAUGUGGUUUAAUUCGAAGCAACGCGAAGAACCUUACCAGGUCUUGACAUCCUCUGACAAUCCUAGAGAUAGGACGUUCCCCUUCGGGGGACAGAGUGACAGGUGGUGCAUGGUUGUCGUCAGCUCGUGUCGUGAGAUGUUGGGUUAAGUCCCGCAACGAGCGCAACCCUUGAUCUUAGUUGCCAGCAUUCAGUUGGGCACUCUAAGGUGACUGCCGGUGACAAACCGGAGGAAGGUGGGGAUGACGUCAAACUCAUCAUCGUCCCCUUAUCGACCGUGGGCUACACACGUGCUAACAAGUGGAUGGUAACGAAGGGCUGACAAACUGUAGAAGUCGAGCGAACUCCCAAUAAACCUAUUCUCUAGGUUCGGUA
rnacentral:rRNA from 1 species